UUGAGUGGGAGAGGGAGGAGGGGAAAGAGAAGACAAAUGAGCUCAGGGCAUGAAGUGCCCGGGAAAACACUGAAUGAACUGUCAAGAGAUACAACAGGGGAUUAAGAAAUGCACCGCUGGGAGAGGAAAAGGCAGGGAAGCCAAACACGCCUUAGAGAAAUGACGGGUGACAUGGGAAGGAGCAAGAUCCAAGAUUACUUCGUCACCAUGGCUACGGGAAGGCGAUUAAUAUCUUUGCUUCACCAAAAGCCUCAUACACUUGCAAAUUUGGGGAACCUGCCAUCGCUGAGAAGAAAUGACAAGCAAUACCAUCACUUGGAAGGAGGUG